rnacentral:rRNA from 1 species
UGAGGAAUAUUGCCCAAUGGACGCAAGUCUGAGGCAGCGACGCCGCGUGGGUGAAGAAGGCCUUCGGGUCGUAAAGCCCUUUUCUGCAGGACGAGAGCGGACGGUACUGCAGGAAUAAGUCUCGGCUAACUACGUGCCAGCAGCCGCGGUAAAACGUAGGAGGCAAGCGUUAUCCGGAGUUACUGGGCGUAAAGCGCACGCAGGCGGACUAGUAAGUGGGUCGUGAAAGCGCCCGGCUAAACCGGGCGAGGACGAUUCAGACUGCCGGUCUAGAGUCGGAUAGAGGAGCGCGGAAUUCCGGGUGUAGCGGUGAAAUGUGUAGAGAUCCGGAGGAACACCAGUGGCGCAAGCGGCGCUCUGGGUACGAACUGACGCUGAGGUGCGAAAGCGUGGGGAGAGAACGGG